GGCAGCCGGGCUGCCGGAUCACGGCGGCUCGGUCGACUGGUGGUUGACCAACGAUGCGGUGCUGAUCGACACGGCCGGCCAUUAC
rnacentral:tRNA from 2 species